rnacentral:rRNA from 1 species
CCUACGGGGGGCAGCAGUGGGGAAUAUUGGGCAAUGGGCGCAAGCCUGACCCAGCAACGCCGCGUGAAGGAAGAAGGCCCUCGGGUUGUAAACUUCUUUUAUUCGGGACGAAGAAGUGACGGUACCGAAUGAAUAAGCCACGGCUAACUACGUGCCAGCAGCCGCGGUAAUACGUAGGUGGCAAGCGUUAUCCGGAUUUACUGGGUGUAAAGGGCGUGUAGGCGGGACUGCAAGUCAGAUGUGAAAACCAUGGGCUCAACCCAUGGCCUGCAUUUGAAACUGUAGUUCUUGAGUGAUGGAGAGGCAGGCGGAAUUCCGUGUGUAGCGGUGAAAUGCGUAGAUAUACGGAGGAACACCAGUGGCGAAGGCGGCCUGCUGGACAUUAACUGACGCUGAGGCGCGAAAGCGUGGGGAGCAAACAGGAUUAGAUACCCCAGUA